rnacentral:rRNA from 2 species
CGGAAGCGAAUCUGAGGGAGCUUGCUCCCAAAGAUUAGCGGCGGACGGGUGAUUAACACGUGGGCAACCUGCCUGUAAAACUGGGAUAACUCCGGGAAACCGGGGCUAAUACCGGAUAAUAUCUAUUUAUACAUAUAAUUAGAUUGAAAGAUGGUUCUGCUAUCACUUACAGAUGGGCCCGCGGCGCAUUAGCUAUUUGGUGAGGUAACGGCUCACCAAGGCGACAAUGCGUACCCAACCUGAGAGGGUGAUCGGCCACACUGGGACUGAAACACGGCCCAAACUCCUACGGGAGGCAGCAGUAGGGAAUCUUCCGCAAUGGACAAAAGUCUGACGGAGCAACCCCGCGUGAGUGAUGAAGGUUUUCGGAUCGUAAAACUCUGUUGUUAGGGAAAAACAAGUACCGGAGUAACUGCCGGUACCUUGACGGUACCUAACCAAAAAGCCACGGCUAACUACGUGCCACCACCCGCGGUAAUACGUAGGUGGCAAGCGUUGUCCGGAAUUAUUGGGCGUAAAGCGCGCGCAGGCGGUUCUUUAAGUCUGAUGUGAAAGCCCACGGCUCAACCGUGGAGGGUCAUUGGAAACUGGGGAACUUGAGUGCAGAAGAGGAAAGUGGAAUUCCAAGUGUAGCGGUGAAAUGCGUAGAGAUUUGGAGGAACACCAGUGGCGAGGGCGACUUUCUGGUCUGUAACUGACGCUGAGGCGCGAAAGCGUGGGGAGCAAAACAGGAUUAUAUACCCUGGUAGUCCACGCCGUAACGAUGAGUGCUAAGUGUUAGAGGGUUUCCGCCCUUUAGUGCUGCAGCAAACGCAUUAAGCACUCCGCCUGGGGAGUACGACCGCAGGGUUGAAUCUCAAAGGAAUUGACGGGGGCCCGCACAGGCGGUGGAGCAUGGUGUUUAUUUCGAGCAACGCGAAGACCUUACAUGUCUGACAUCUCUGA